rnacentral:rRNA from 1 species
UUGGUGCACGCGAGUACCAUGCAGUCGAGCGGAAGAGGUGCUUGCUUGCUACCUUUGCCGCCGAGCGGCGAGGGUGGAUAAAUGCCUGCAUAUCUGCGCCGGCUAGCGGCAUUACUGCUGGGAACGGGGGCUAAUCCCCCAAACGGCCUAAGGAGGAGAUCAGCGGACCUUGCGCCCUUGCACGAUUGUAUGUGGCACGAUUCCUUUAGCUAGUUGGUGAGGUAAUGGCUCACCAAGGCGACGAUCCCCAGAUGGUCUGAUAGGAUGAUCUGCCACACUGGAACUGACACACGGCCCAGACUCCUACGGGAGGCAGCAGAGUGGAAUAUUGCACAAUGCCUGAAACCCUGAUGCAGCCAUGCCGCGUGUGUGAUGAAGGCCUUCGGGUUGUUUAGCACUUUCGGCGAGGAGGAUAGGUUGUUAGCUAAUAACUGCCAGCUGUGACGUUACUCGCAGACGAAGCACCGGCUAACUCCGUGCCAGCAGCCGCGGUAAUACGGAAGCUGCAAGCGUUAAUCGGAAUUACUGAGCGUAAAGCGCACGCAGGCGGUUGGAUAAGUUAGAUGUGAAAGCCCCGCUCUCAACCUGCGAAUUGCAUUUAAAACUGUCCAGCUAGAGACUUGUAGAGAGAGGUAGAAUUCCAGGUGUAACAUGCGAAAUGCGUAUAGAGCUAGACCGAAUACCGAAGGCAGCAGGCGUCCCCCUGCACUGAAGACUGACGCUCGAGAGCAAGAGCGGGGAGAAAGCGAUUCAGAUAUUAGAGACCCUGGUAGUCCACGCCGAUAGACGAUGACCAUUUGGAGCCUGUGACCCUUAAGACGUGGCUUCUAGAAGCUAACACGAUAAAUCGACCGCCAUGACGGAGUACGGGCAGCUAAAGACUAAAACUCAUUUGAAGUGGACGGGGGGACCACGCACAGGCGGCAGGGAGCAUUGUAGUUCUAAUUUCAAAUGCAACAACCAUAACCCUUAACUGACAUAGACAUGAUCUUUCAUCCAUGGCGAGAAUAUGCGCAUUGCCUAUCUGAAUCAAGAACACAAGGAUGCUGCAUGGCCUAUCCGUCAGGCUCUGUCAUGUGAGAAGUU